UACGUAGGGUGCAAGCGUUAAUCGGAAUUACUGGGCGUAAAGCGUGCGCAGGCGGUUUUGUAAGUCUGAUGUGAAAUCCCCGGGCUCAACCUGGGAAUUGCAUUGGAGACUGCAAGGCUAGAAUCUGGCAGAGGGGGGUAGAAUUCCACGUGUAGCAGUGAAAUGCGUAGAGAUGUGGAGGAACACCGAUGGCGAAGGCAGCCCCCUGGGCCAAUACUGACGCUCAUGCACGAAAGGCGUGGGGAGCAA
rnacentral:rRNA from 1 species